AAAUCCAUCGCACACCAGCCAACCACUUAUUCAAGUAAUAUCAUUUACUGGAAUACCAACAAACACAAGCAUGACGACACUGCUACAAGGAACAAGCGCUCUGUUCGACCACUUUGUCUGUACAAAAGCACAUCUGCACCCAUUCGAAGAUAAGAAUGACAUCAAGAGAAGAUGAAAAGGCAUGUCUCCCAUACUCAAACUAUAAACAGUAUUAGAAGAAAAAAAAUAUCAUUCCAGGGAUUACCUCGACGAUUAAAGGAGAAUUAUAUUCAUGCCAGAUAACUGGAGCUAGCACCAUUCAAGGACAACCAAUUGAUGCAUGUUUAAAUCGUUGGCUGUAGAUAAUCCUAUCUUUACAAGUCCAGAGUUGCUAGCUGCAUCAAUAAAGCCGACAAAUACGUUAGUCCCAUUGUGUUGUCCUGACUGAUUGCAUAGUUGAUUUACAUUGAUACAUAAAGGACGAACAAAUUACACUCAAGUGUUCAAUUACUUACACUGAAAUCUGUAGGCGCAGCAGCCAGCCACCAAGUCUAGUUACACUGGCAUUCUAGCAAGCGGUGCCAAUAAGCCAUGCUCUCUCCAACCGUUGUCUUUGUAGAGAAAGAGAAACAUAUGUAUACGAACCUACCACAAGAUGACAGAGGCACUGAAAGAUGAGUAAGCAUUCUGCCGUAUGGAAACCACAGAAGUACAUAUAUUAUACACAAGCACUUGAGUGGUUGAUGUAAGCUAUCAUUUUCCCUCUGAUAAUCCUACCUUUACAGUUCAAUAGUUUUGUCUCUGGACCGACAAAGUCCCACAUACGUUCAGUCUUAUAUAGCUGUUCAAGCGAGCUGAGGUCUAGAGGUCCCCGUCCUGGAAGGAAUUGCGAGAGUGGGAGGCGUUGAAUUGAAAGUCCAUUUUGUAACGCCCCGAUUCCGACAUACAUCCAGGAUCGACACGUGACGUCACCAAAUACCCGUAUCUCAACAUACCCCGCUUCCGGGAUAUGGCAAAUCACAACUCGAGAAUCGAAUUGCAUAGUAAUUUUUUUGUAUACUUUAUUACUGCAUCUAACCUCAUCGUUAGACUGCAUACGUACCCUCAACAGGAAUCAAGCCAUUUGUAGUUCGUCGCACUUGAACAAUCAUCGCUUAAAUCUCUAUGUCUCAACAUAAUACCACGAUUCAGAUAUGCAACAUAUCAAGGAACAUUCAACGAAGCACAAUAAUAUUCUCUAGUCAUGUCAUUUACACACACAUAAGCUUUCAAACGCCAUUCAAUAAUCACAGCAAUCAAUAACACAUACAAUACAUCAAAAUGCAGGGUUAAAGCGACACCGUUCGGUUGAAGCCUACAUCUCUGAAGUUGAAAUCAAAUCCAAUGAACCAACAAGUCAAAUGCUACGAUUUCGGACCACUCAACGAAGUCCAUUAACAUCGGGUUUUGGACCACUCAACGAACUCGCGAAGUAGAAGGGAUUCUGAACCAUCACUCAACGGAAUCCAAGUGGAUACGAUUUCAAACCAUCACUCAAUGGAAUCGCGAAGUUGAAAGGAUUCCAAACCAUCACUCAACGGAAUCCAAGUGGAUACGAUUCCGGACCAUCACUCAACGGAAUCGCAGAGUAGAAGGGAUUCCAGACCAUCACUCAACGGAAUCCAAGUGGAUACGAUUUUGGACCAUCACUCAACGGAAUCCAAUUGGAUACGAUUCCAGAUCAUCACUCAAUGGAAUCGCAAAGUAGAAGGGAUUCCGGACCAUCACUCAACGGAAUCCAAGUGGAUACGAUUUCGGACCAUCACUCGACAGAAUUGCAAAGUAGAAGGGAUUUCGGACCAUCACUCAAUGGAAUCCAAAUGGAUACGAUUCCAGACCAUCACUCAACAGAAUCGCAGAGUAGAAGGGAUUUCGGACCAUCACUCAACGGAAUCGCAGAGUAGAAGGGAUUUCGGACCAUCACUCAACAGAAUCCAAGUGGAUACGAUUCUAGACCAUCACUCAACGAAAUCACAGAGUAGAAGGGAUUCUAGACCAUCACUCAACGAAACCCCAGUGGAACCCAGUUCGGGACACUUAAUGGAACCAAGCGGAAGUCCAAGGAACAUAUCAACGGCUCGAAGAAACAAGACAUGAAUCAAGUUACUCAAGUUACAAAGGCUCAACGAAAUGAAACAAAGCACAAGUAUUAAAUGUAGAAUGGCUCAACGAAACGAGAAAUGAAAUAAUGAACCGAGGGGUGAGACAUGUAUCGAAGCAACAAACCCCAUGACGAUGGGUUAACGGUCCACUACUAGCCCUCACUUUUCAUCACAUCAAUCCAAAUAUACAAAACAAACCAUAUUUCCAAUAUGCACGUCAAAUCACAAUUAAUAAACAUAGAUCGAUGCUAAAAAUAAAAAUAACACUUCAAUAGAAAGCACAUUUAAUAAACAAGUAUAACUCAAUAUGGUGCCACCAAUACAUAUAUCGAGACACACGUCAACCGAGAACGACACGUCAUUGUGAUAAGCUAACUAAGUUCCAUCAAGCCUCAACAACAAACUAGAGAUAAACGACACUCUAGAGUAUAGCACGUUGACUAGAACGUCAACCGUCGAUAAGGUAAGUCCAUUAAGAUCAACAAUCUAAGGUUAUUCAAUCCGGAAGAUCCGCACAUCGGAUUUCCAAUCCGUAAGUUCUCAAAGGUCCAACAAUUGAUAACUAGGGUGCUCACAAAAUUGUACGACGAUCCACGAUCGAAUUGUCGUCAAUACAAACAAGUGGUGGUCCAAUUUGAUCACCACAACAAACAAUUGAAUUUCAGGAAACCGAGCUAGACGUAGGUUCAUAGGGUCACUAGAAGGUAUUUGGAACUUAGACAACACUCGUGGACGGUUCCACGCACCUCUACACGCGGUGGUAGCCAAGGUGGAGGGUUUUGAAAAUCUGAAUUUUCAACAUUAACUAAAUAAGCUCAAAUUUACGUGGUAGCUAAAGCUCAACAAGGGAAACACUUUUCAAAACUCUAAAAUGAAUAUGAAAGUACGAACCAAGCAUACCAACUUGAAGAUUAUGAAGAGUAGAUGAAGUUUCAUACCUCACUCGAAGGAAAUGGUUGCCGGAAUCACCGGAAAAAUGACAAAAUCGCCGGAAACCCACGGAACUUUGCUGUCUAGAACUAGAAAAAUGGAUUAAAAAAAUUGGGAAAUCUAACACUACAGAGAUGUAGGGUUCGUCAAGAGUUUUUCAUGGACACCAAGAUCACCCAAAACGAAGAUCGGAUGAAGGAGAUACAAGCGAGUCAAGUUUGUGGGUUAACGAAUCAAAUUCUCCCCCAAAAUGAGUUAGCAGCAGCCCCCCCCUCCCCCCCCUUUUUUUUUUUUAAGAAACCUUCCCCCUUUUUAAUUUGAUUGGUCAUCUGUUCAACCUUUACUUCUGAUUGGCCACAAAAGCACAUACCUCUUUGGGUUUUUUCCCUCAAAGUGAGAGUUUAAAUAAUUUCUAAAAUUUAUAUUUUAGUAACACAACUUCAAACGUCCGUAACUAUACCGUUAUAAUCCGGACUCGCAAAUGGAUUUCGCCUAUGCAUUCGUGGUUUCGAGAUCUAUUCGAAAAUAUAAAUUGUAACCUCUAAAGGUCUACGAAUUUUAAAUAAUUACUGAUCAAAAUUCAAACUUCGUAAUUAGUUUAAUUAAAAUCUAAAGUUAAUAUAAAUUUCCAAAAAUAAUAUAAAUUCUCCUUGAUACCAAUACAUAGUUUGCAAUAGUGAAAUCCAGGAACAGAAUUUCACACAUUUCCACCCAAAAGAUUUCAAACUUGACAGUCCAGAAAAUCAGAGCACCUUUUGAUAAUCCUAUCUUUACAGGUUUGCUUGCUCGCUGCAUCAAUGAAACCGAUAUAUCUGUUAGUCCCAUUACACCUACCAGAAGAUUACAGUUAUGUCGCAAAUGAGAGAAGUGAGAGAAAAGCAUCAUCCAGGAUUUACCUCGUCAUGCAGGAGAAUCAUACAUAUCCACCCCAAGUAGUUCCACAUUAUCAGACUACAAAUAAUUCACUCCCCUCGCCGCUCUCCUGUAAUUUCAUCGGAAUUAGACUCUGAAACUCUAAUUUAAGCUGGAAUAUUGCUGAGGACAAUCAAUUUAAUAAUAAAUAAAUAAAAGUACCUGGCUUUUGUCUUGAGAGUUGAGAGUUGAGAGUUGGAGAGAGUGAAAUGAAAGCUCAUAUGAUGGUGAUUUCAUCAUCUAUGUUUAUGCAAGGAAUGCGAGCUAUGUUUCUCCAAUCUUUUCCCUUCUUGUUCCGAUACUUCUUCUUCAGAGAAGGACAACCCUCGAUGCUCAGAUAAGAAAGAGAUGCCGGCAAACCCUCUUUUGGCAGGAAUUCGAGACUCUGGCAGCCUGAAAUUUCUAGCUUUUGAAGAGAAGUAAGGUGCUCAAGUCCCUUUCCGUCCAAAGAUUUCAGAUUCCAUACACCACAGAUUUCGAGAUGGUGAAGAGUGGCAGGGAGCAGCUGUUCAUUGAGCAACGUCUCCACCAGAUCCUUGCUUACUCCGACGAUCCCAAAUGAUUGUAGGUUGGGAGGCAAACCCCCUUGUGCAAAUGACACCACAUUUGGAAGAUUGGCUAUCCCCAAAUCUUGAAGGGCGGUGAGGGUGUGCAUGCGGUCCGGCAACAACUUCAAAUUGUCACAGUAUAAGACUUGAAAGGAAGUGAGGUUGGGAGUGGGCAAUCCCCCGUCGGGAAAAGAGACAAGAUUUUGACAUCCAUUAAUAUCCAGGGAGUUGAGAUGGCUGAGAUUUUCAUCUGCUCCUCCUUCAACUGAAAGAGAUUCCAGAUUCUCACAAUUACCGAUAGAAAGAGAUGAAAGGUUGGGGAAAAUGCCCAAAGGGAACGACCUCAGAGAAUCACAGCUGUCGGAUAGACUCAAAGACUGAAGGGAAGUCAAUGUGGCCAUCAUCUCACCUGAUAGGAAUUCUAAUUUCUUGCAAUUUUCUAUACCGAGUGACGUCAGCGUGGUGGGCAGACCAUUUGUAGGGAACGACAAGAGUGAGGAACAUCCCCAUAAUGUCAAACUUUGAAGACGAUUGCUGUUGUGCAUCAUUUGCGGCAACCAUUUGCUUCCACCAACACUACCAAUACGGAGCAUCUGAAGCGAUGGCAGCGUCUCCGUCGACUCUAGUAAUAAUGAGAGACCCGGGCAUCCCUUUAUUGUCAGUUCUUUAAGAGAUUCCCGUAAGGAUUCCGCGUUCAGGGUAUUACUGGCCCUGUUUUCAUGUAGAACCUCACAUGCCAAGACCUGAAGUAUUUUCAAGGAAGGAAGACGAAUGGGCAUGUUUCCUCUCAGCUUCGGACAUGAGAAUAACCUCAGCUCCUCAAGACGAGGAAAGUCUGGACUUUCACCUCCACUUGGACUUGGCUGCCAUUCCUCCCACUCUGGCAUCUCCCAAAACUCUAACUUCUCUAAACAUUGAAAUGGUUGAUUUCCGCCGUACAACUCAACACCAACACUCUUAACAACUUUCAUCCUUUCUACGUAGAGCUCUUUCAGAGCAGGUAGCUGACCAACUGGUGGCAAUGAACUGCAAUUACCACAGUCACUGAGACGCAUCACUUGUAAGUUGGAGAAGGACGAGUCUCCCACCCAAUUCGGGAAACUGAUUCCGCCAUAACACCUGAUGGUUAGCUUCACCAAAUUUACCGAAGGUUGAAGUCUUUCGAGCACAUAUCUCUCUUUUACGGAAUCAUUGGAAACCACACGACCCCAUGACAACUCUACCUCGUUGAGAUCUUUCUUAUCCUCCAGCAAGGCAUCAAUAGCACCGACUACAUUUUGCAGAUUCAAGAUAGAAAUUUUUCUUCCAAGGUGCGACAACUCCCUCAAUUCUGCAAUGCUUGACCCAGAAGAUUUCCCCAACACAAAAGCUGUCAGUGUUCUCAAACUUUUUAGUCUACCCAUAUGCACAGGCAUCUCUUUUAUGUUAGUUCCACCAAUAUCAAGAUGACGCAAAUGAAUCAAUUUCCUCAUGUCUGCAGGCAAUUCAACAAGAGAAGAACAACCGAACAACAACAGAGUUUGUAAAUUGUAGAGGGUACACACUGUAUCUGGUAACCUUUUAAUUGUCGUAUAAGAGAGAUCAAUGUAGCGCAAGUGUAUGUGGUUACCAAUGGAAUCAGGUACGUGAGUGAUGUUUUUGUAUCUUGACAAUGAAAAUGCUCGUAAAUAUUUUUGUGCUGGUAGUAAAUCAUCUAGAACCUUGUUGCUUACAUAUUCAUGAUCCCAACGGUAAUAUGGUGCUAAAGACGCUGGAAAGAAGGUACGCAAACACUUGACUCCUUCUAGUGGCUCAAAUUUUGGAGAUGUAUCAAAUUUUCCUCGCAUAUACGACAAGUGGCGAACUCUUUUAGGAACUUCAUGUGAAUUUUUCUGAUCCAACCUUAAACAAAACUCUCCAGACACAAACAUAGCCAAGUCAUUGAUAAGAUCAUGCAUUGUGAAACUUGGUUGAUCCAAUCUUGGUCUUUGAAAUAGUGACCGCGAUAACAGUUCGUCAAAGUAUCUUUCACCAACCUCCUCCAUAGCUUUCUCGUUCUUUGCAUUAGGAAUUAAGCCUUCUGCCAUCCAUAGUGGAAUUACAUUCUCUUUUUCAAAUUCAUAGUCUUUUGGAAAAAUUGAGCAAUAAGCAAAGCAUCGUUUCAAGUAAGUUGGAAGAUAGUGGUAGCUCAAUCUUAGAGAAGGAAGAACACUAUCAGCAUGCGGUAGAUCCCAAAGAUUGCUAUUCAAUAUGUGAUUCCAUUCCUUGUAGUCUAGGUUGCAACUUAAGAGACCCCCUAGCGUUUUUGCAGCUAGAGGCAAACCGUUGCACUUACGUGCAAUUUGCUUACCAAUUUCAACCAAGUUUGGAUGUUCAUAGGGGUUUUCAUUUCUAAAUGCAUGUUUUGCUAGUAACAACCAACAAUCUUCAUCUGACAAAUUUUCUAAGUUGUGAAUAGGAAUAGUAUUGUGCACAAUGGAUGCAACACGUCUACUCCUUGUUGUUACAAUGACCUUGCUUCCCUUUGCCCCAUACGUGAAAAGAAUUCGUAGACGCUCCCACUCAUUAUAAUUUUCAUUCCAAAGGUCAUCCAAGACAAGUAAAACUCUCUUUCCCCUCAGCUGUUCCCUUAGUUGAACUUCAAGGGAAUUCAUCUCCAAAUUGUCACAAGGCUUUUUAGUGAUUUCCUCAAUAAGGGUCUUAAUAACCCUCAAACCCUCAUACUGUUCGGAAACACAAACCCAAGCAUGAGUAUCAAAGUGGUCUUUAACUUGUUCAUCAUUGUAAAGGAGUUGAGCAAGAGUUGUCUUACCAACCCCGCCCAUUCCGACUAUAGGGACUACAGAAAAAUUACUGCUACUUUCAUUGUCAGAUAGCAGCAGUAGAGAUUUUAACUUUUCUAUAUCGCCAUCCCUUCCAUAGGUACAAAAUUCGUCCUCAACAACAGAAGUUGUGGGAGUUCUUUGUGAAACAUUGCCCCCAACACCUCCUCUAAGACCGAGGUUGUCUUUUUGUUUUGCAAGGUGUUCCAACUUGUUGAACAAAUCUUCUAUUCUACGAUUCAAGGAUUUAUAAUGAAAAGGAUUAAGGGAGGUAGAAAGGAUGUCCCGCACCUGGAUUUUCUUAGUCUGAUCUUUGGCCUUGCGACGCAAAUCUUCAGUAUCAAGCUCAUCCACCAAGUCCUCGGCAUCGAACACAGCAUGUUUGAGCUCGUCUAGCCACAUCCCGACGGCAGGGUUGACGAUCUGCUUCUCCUCUGCAUCGUUGAGCACUGCAUGGAGGGUCAUCAACGUCACCUCCAGUCUGUCCAUGAGUGAAUAGUCGAGUCUUCUUGCCCGGAAGAAGUCCAUGAACUGUCCGGAGGCAAUCUUGUCGCACAACACCUUGAUCGAACCGGAUAGCAAAGCCUCUCCAACCAAAGCCAUUUUCUCUUCUUGGCUAAAGGACUAAUUUUGAUCAAGUAUUUGGAGUUGAAAAACUGAAAAUUAUUCUUGGCAAAGCCUUUUAAGAUUACUUCAUGACGAGAGAGACGACUUGAUAUUUUUCUUGGUUAAUAAUGCAGCGGACCACACACGGCAAACAUAAAGUAGAAAUUAGUAGAGGUUGGAAAACGUUACCGAUCCAACAUUAAUUUAUUAAUUAUAUUCCUUCAUAAAAAAAUCGUUGUUGGUCAUGAAAAUUGGUGGAGUUGGAAAACAUUACAUCAAACAUUAAUUAAUUUAUUAUUUUAUUACAUAUAUAGAUGACAUUAUUUGAUUUGAGUGCAUCUUCACAUGUGAGACAAAGUCAAAGAAAAUAGCUCGGUGAAGAUGAACACAAUUCAAGAAUUCUAUCUAAUCUUAUCAGAACAUCUCAUGAUUCCCAUAUACUGGCCAAUGAUAGAUCACAAAUAUUAUACUUUACCUAUAUCAUCGAUUUCACAACAAAUCCAAUUUAUUUUUUACAUGUUUUCAAGAACUAUUUUAAGAAGUGACCAGAUGGGCCAUAGUGAUUUUCGAUUGGACAAAGCUCAUGGGUUAUGACAAACGCCCAGUUUCUACGCUAACAGUUUGAAAGUUGGAAGUAUGCAGAGUUUGUGAAACCAAGGGCUUUGUUCUCCUGCACAUGGAAAAGUAAAAGAAAAUGGCUGAGACUAAUCUCAAAUUGUUAAGUCGUAAAAAAAUAUGAAAAUUUCCAUUGAUGGAGCGGCGUAAAAUAAAAAAAAUUUAAAAAAUGCUGUAAUUGGAUCUCAACAUUUUUCCCUUGUCUUACUAAAAGAGUAGAAAAAAUCAUCGCGGGUAGUAGAGUGGUCAAGGACGAAGUCUAGGUUUAUAUUCCACACGACACGUCAAGAGUUCAAUUCUUGAUGCUGGUGAAUCACACAAUAGUGGUUAUGGGAGCUGAAAUACCUCUGCAAGUCUUCUCGGCACCCAAAAAUGUGAACCGCAGUGCCACCAGCUGAUUCCAUUUUUAAAAAGAAAAAAAUAAAAUAAAAGAAUAGAAAACGUUGGGGUAAAUUAGAGCAAGACUAUGUGCUUUAUGUAUUCGAUAAUUGAUUUUUUUUUUUUUUAAAAAAUAGAAGGCAAUAGUUUCAUUAAAACAUACUAAUGUGAUUUAUUUGAUAAUUGAUAAAUAAAUAAAUGAAAUGUGCUUUGUUUGCCUUCCAAUUGUUGUAACGGUCACAUUUGGAUCUUUGACCCAUAUGAUGAUCAAAUGGCCUCCACCAUCCUCUUGUGAUGAUUGAAAUCUCCAAAACCAAAUCUUGGUACUACUCUGUGUAUUCUACUCCAAUUCCAAAGGCUCUAUCUUCAUCUUCCUAUUAAAAGAAAAAUUAAGAAAUUUUCGGACGUGACUUCAACGCUAUGUAGCAUUUAAUGUUACGAGUGUAUUAGUUAUCAUAUUUAAUUUUCACAACUAUUACAUUUUAUAUUUUCUAUUCUGAAUAUUUAUUUUUUAUGACACUCAGUACUAUAUGCUUUUUGAAGAAAAAUGGAUUGUACUUUUUCUUGCUUUGCCAGUCUGCCUAUGUAUUCAACAUUCAUGGAACCAUUCAAGUUUAGGAUUUGGUUUGCAUCAGCAAUGCGCUUCAUCAUGAGGAAUUUAAUUAUAGGAGAAAUUUUUCAGUGUGCCAAAAACACUACUUGGUAUAUCAAGUGUAAUAAUGUAAUUAGUUGGAAUUAUUUUCUUUUUCAAGUUUCUAACCCAAUUAUCUUGUUACACUUAGAAUAAUGAACUGUGUUCCUGACGUAUUGAUAAAUCUCUCCACAUAUGAGGGGCCUAAAAUCUAUCAGUCUAGUUUCUAUGCCAACCAUGCCCCUUUUCUUAAGUAUACUUAAUCUUUAAUUUUCUUGGGUUAGCCAAUUUUGAGUCAAGGUUAACAUGUUUUUUCACAAAACUAAUUAAGAAAACACUCUAGUUGCGUAGUUAUAUUGUCAAAUUAUCGAAUUUGAUACUAUAAAAUUAUAUAAUCAAGUAUACGUUACCGCUAUUUAUAUUAAAUAAACACUGUAAUACUAUAACAUACUAUAUUUCAUGAUGAACAAAAAAUUUCCUUCAACGCUAAACUCAUGUUUAAUAUUGAAAUUGUUAUUGAAUAAUGAGGCACGACUUGCAAUAAACCUCACAUACAUUAACAAUUGAAAAUCGUUGAGACCCACUCUUCCAUGUUAUUAUGUUGACAAAAUGUUCCCAGACCAAAAAUAUACCAUAAAAUUCCAUGAUAUUGAUUCCACCAACACGCUGUCGUUUAAGGUCCCUCCCAAAAGUCCCUCAUAACCGUUGCAAACCCACUCUCAGCAUAAAUAUUCCUUUCAAACCGACCCACGCGCCCAUUUUCCAACCGUUUAAACCCCACUCCCUCCCUCUCUCUAAACCUCCAAGAACUCUAUCUCUCUCUCUCUCUCUCUCUCUCUCUCUCUCUCUCUCUCUCUCUCUCUCUCUCUCUACAUGUUUUCAAUCAUAAUCUGCAAGUCCUUUGCUUUUGCAAAGAAAAUCCAAAACCCAUUAGUUUCCAUCCAUCUGAAAUCGAAAUCUCCGCCUCCAUGGCUCCAAGAAAGCUUCUUGAUUUCUGGGUCGUCGUCUUCUUCCUCAUAGCCCUCUUCCUACGCCGUGGCUCCGCCGAGAACGUCAACAACUACUUCCCCUCUUUCAACUUCCGAAACCUUACCGGCCUCACCCGCGAGUUCACAGUCCCCUCUUCCAGCUCCGGCGCCGUCAUAUACAACAACCCAAUUCUGUUCUUUGACCCGGAAUUCAAGCUACUCGAAUUUGAAGCCCGAAAAGCCGGUUUUGAGCGUAGAGAUCGAUCUCUCCGAGCAUCUGAAGGAGGUUAUGUUCGUGGGUUUUUUGGCCUAGACGGAAGGGAGCACGGAGAAGCAUCUGGUUGAGAAUUGGAGCUUUCAUACAUGCGGGUUCGUUGCGAAAAGGCCAAAGCUACAGCCCCACAAUGUGUCUGAUACUUAUGUGGUGGUAAGUGUAAGUCCGAGAAUUCCAUGCUAGGACCAACCAAUUAAUAGGUGUAUGAUGUAUAAUAAUUUGCAGAGUUUAUUUUCAAAUGAAAAAUUAAACAACAAAUACAAUAUAUCAAGAUAUAAUCACUUAAUGAAAUUGCUUAUAAAAUUACAAAUCACUGACUUGUUAUUUGAGGAUAGAGGCUUGCAAAAGCAAUCUCCUAAGAUAGAAAUUCGCCCCUACACCAAUGCAGUAGAUCAGUGGACGUCUAUCUUGGAGGAUACAACUAUCUAAUCCAAGUUCUUGCACACGAACUUAGAUUCUUGGCGAAUUGGUUGUGGUGUUUCUUUUUGGAAUAUGGAAAAAGGAAGCGAUGGAGUUGAUUGAUUUGUUUCUCAUACUGUAGCCAUAUAUACAACAGGUAUUCAUCAAUUUCCUUCCUGAACUUGUAACUAUUGGCCAAUUUCCCCCCUCAACUUUAAUUUUUGCCAAUUUCCCCCCUCAACUCUCAUAAUUAGUCAAUUUGCACCAUACUCUAAUUUUUUAAUUUGAUCAUAAUUAAACAAGUGUGUGUAAGAAACUAAAUAAGAUGUAUGUUAAUCAUUUUCCUAUGUCUUUAUCCUAUUACAAAUAGAUUAAAAUUUAGAAUUUUACAAUUUAUCAUAGAUAGUAUUAUUAGUCAUAAUAAAUCAGUAUGGAGUAAUUUUAUUUGAUUUUUUUAUUAUACAAAAUUGAUAACGAAAAGGAUUGAUGUGUACAUUUUUGUAUGUGAAUACAAUUUUCUUUAUAAAAGUGAAAGGUAAGUUCAAGUAAAUUGCGAAGAAUCGAGCUUUAGUGCAAAAAUGGCUAGUCAAUUCAUAAUUUUCGACUCCUUAUUAAGAAUAACCCAUUUUAUUGAAAUAUGUCUGAUCCAUGAGUUUAGGAUUAUUAUUUCUUCUUCUACAUGCUUUAAACCCGAUUCAUAACUUUUUCUUAUAAUCAACCCAUAUCACAUACUAAUUGUAUUAUGUUUUUGUACAUUUUAUCCUAUAUUAUGCAGGUGAGUUUAUGUUAAUUUUAGUACUUUGUUGGAAGUUAUUAGAAAGAUUGAAAGAAAAAAAAAAGAAUAGAUGGAAAAUUAAAAAAAAUUAACAGUAGGAUGCAAAUUGACUAAUUAUGAGAGUUGAGGGGGGAAAUUGACCAAAAUUAAAGUUGAGGGGGAAAAUUGGCCAAUGAUCACAAGUUCAGGGGGAAUUGAUGAAUACCUCUAUAUAAUGGCAAUUUGAUUCGUUUCAUACUGUAGCCAUAUAUAUAAUAGCAUUCGUGAACAGAUUAUUCAAACUUAUCCUUUUAGAUAUAACUUUUAAAAACUACAUCCUUAAAAUCAAACCUAAGGCCAAUCUUUGACAUUUAAUACAUACACCCAAACCCUUCAAAUUUAAGGUCUAAGGCUUUAGUCCAGUUUCUUUCAAACUGUAAGUAUGAAAACACACUUAUAAAGAGGACUUAAAGUAGGGAAAUGGACGAUAUGGGACUGGGAGUCCCACAUAAUCACAAGUUCCAACAUUCCAGUGUCCGGUUCGGGAGAUAAGCACCACAGGCGGCUCGGCUUAGGACUUGGUAUUGCUGGGCUUGCGUUCUUUUGCGUGGCGCUGUUGGUUUUCGGGUAUGUUUCCGUGACGAAAUGGAUGGAGGUGAGAAGACAGAAGAGCUUCAAAGCAGAGGUUGUGGCAAGUCUGAGAGAGUUUAGUUACAAGGAGCUAAAAUAUGCCAAUGAGGGUUUCAUUCCAGUAGGAUUCUAGGGCAUGGAGCUUUCCGGUCUGUUUACAAGGCGUUUUUCGUGUCUAUGGGCACCAUUUCUGCGGUGAAAAGAUCCAAGCAUUCCAUUAAAGGUAAAACUGAAUUCCUUUCUGAGUUGUCGAUUAUUGCUUGCUUGCGCCACAAGAGUUUAGUUCACCUUUAGAGCAGUUCCACCGGAGCAAAAAGAGGCCAACACCUAGUGGAAAAAACAGGCUGGGACUCAGCCAAUCCACUCCAGCCCGUGUGUUUGCCUGGCACCCAGCCCAAGUUGGUCUCCAAGCCAGCCCAGAAUUGACAGACCUUGGGACUGGCCUAGCUAACGCCAGCAUGACAUCAGCCACCUUGGGACUGGCCUGUCUCGUUCCGGGGGGUUCAUGAUUUCGCACACCGCCAACAGCGCUGCGCCCAGUCCAUCCACGAUGCUGGCCGAGGGGAAAUAUUCCAGCUUCAAAGACGGCGCAUUUCUUUCCGUGGUGGUCUCCAGCUUGAACGCUACUGCCUUGUCCUUCAAAAGCUUGCCUCAAAAGUUGAGGGUCUGGACCAAGUCGAGAAUCUGGACCCUCUGGGAGACGAUCUGGUGAGAAGUGAGCAGCUUGGCCACGGAGGGAUAUGACAACGAUGAGGAGAGAGGGGUGGAGAGGCAUCUCUGCGGCUGCUCCAUGAGGAUUUUGAGAGAACAAGAGGAAGGGAGAUCGGAAGGAGCGGUGAGGAAGGGAGGGUUAUAGUGGAACCUGACUUAUCCUUUUUUUUUUUUAAUAAAAUUAUUAUUUUUAUUAUUUUAUAAUAAAAAAUAAUAGAGUAAAUUACAUAGUAGCCCCUCAUGUUUGAGGUCAAUUACAACCCCAUACAACAACUUUAAAACAUUUCACUUUCAUACAUCCAGUACAAUUUUAUUUCAAAAUAAAACCUCUGUUAGAUUUUCCAUCCAUUAGUCUGUUAAAUGCUGACGUGGCUGCCACAUUUGUGCUGAUGAGGUUGCCACGUGGCAAAAAAAAAAAAUUUUUAAUUUUUUUUUAAAAAAUACCUAAAUCUUCUAAAUAAAAAAAUAAAAACCCAGAAUCUGAACAAAACCCCACCCCCGUGAACCCCCCUUAGCCUUCUUCUUCCCUGCUCCCAUCUUCCCCCACCCCAUACCUGCACCUUUGAAGGAAAAAAAAAAACCUGAGAACAACCCAUAUCCCAUAUCCCCGCGAAACCCAUACCCCAUACGACCACCCCCCAACCCAGAUCCCAUUACCACGCCCCCCCCCCCGACGCGAAACCUAACCCAGAUCCCAUUACCAACCCUCCGGCGCGAAACCCAUAUCCCCCCCGAACUGCAAGGACGUCAUCCUCACCCGCAUCAUCUUCGUCGUCGAAGACGACAACGAGCAGGAAUAGCAAGGCGACGAUGAGAAAUCCCGGUCGACGGUGAGAUCGGGUGGUGACGAAGGACCUUCGUGAGGAGCAGAGGGAUCAGAGAGAGAGAGCUCUGCGGUACAGGCCACGAUGCAACGCAUGACCCAAAUUCACCGCCACGGAGACGACCAGAACGUUGAGCCCAUUCCGACCCAACCCCCGACCCUCAUCCCACUCUCCUCACUCUCUCUCUCAAACCCCAAACCCUCCAGAUCCAAAACCCACACAACUCUGCCGGGUCACCACCGCCAACGCCUUCCUCCUCAGCACUUUGACCCUCCUCCCACUCUCCUCACUCUCUCUCUCAAACCCCAAACUCCCCAGAUCCAAAAUCCCCACAUUCUUCUCGCUUUCUAUUCGCCCCAACGCCAAUCCUAUAUCCAUCACUCUCUCUCCUCCUUCUGCUUUCUCACUCAUUUCUCUCCCUCUCUGACUCUCUCUCCGGCAACCCCCCCCCCCCCGGCGAACCCCCCAUAUCCCAUUAACCCCUUCCCCCACCCCCCUCGCGAACCUAGAUCCCAGAUUUGUGCAUUUUUUUUUUUUUUGCUUUUCUUUUCUGGGUUGAGAUCCCAUUAACCCCUUCCCCCACCCCCGCGAACUCAGAUCCACACAGUUCGGUGGUGUUGGGAUUGGGAGUGGGGAUGAAGAUGGUUAAGGGAAUGAUUUUUGGGAGGUGGAAUUUGUGGGAUUGGGUUGCAGGGAAAAGGUGAGGCUCGGGUUGGGGGGAAGGAGGAUUUAACGGGAAUGGGUCGUCGGGGGAGGGGGGGAGGUGGGAUUUGAAGGGAGUGGGUCGUCGGGGGAAUGGGGAUUUAACGGGAGUGGGUCGUCGGGGGAAGGGGGAUUUGACGGGAAUGGUUCGUUGGGGGGUGGGGGGGAGGAGGAGGUUGCUGCGCUAGGUUUCUGGGGGGAUUAAUGGGGAGGUGGGUUUGGGAUUAAUUGGUUUCUGGUUUUGGGGGUUGCGGGUAAAGCUUUCAGGUUUGUUUUUUUUUUUUUUUUUAAAUAUUUAGAAGAUUAGAUUAAAAAAUUAAAAAUUAUUUUUUUGCCACGUGGCAGCCUCAUCAGCACAAAUGUGGCAGCCACGUCAGCAUUUAACAGACUAAUGGAUGGAAAAUCUAACGGAUGUGUUAUUUUGAAAUAAAAUGGUACUGGAUGUAUGAAAGUGAAAUGUUUUAAAGUUGUAUGGGGUUGUAAUUGACCUCAAACCUGAGGGGCUACUAUGUAAUUUACUCAAAAUAAUAAUAGUUUAAUAAAAUUGACUAGGCUAUUUUUUUGUUAGGGUGGAGAUGCUUUGGCCUAUUACUGUUUAUUAGGGUCUAUUACUGUUCAUUUGAGUGGAUAAAUAGACUGGGUGCUGGCACAAAGUCAUUAGGGGUGGACUUGCUCUCAAGGCUGGUGUGUUGACAAGGGUGAAUUGCUUCUUGUUUACGAUUUCAUGCCUAAUGGAAGCCUCGAAAAGGCACUGUACCAAGAACCCGGACAAAGUACCUUGUUAGAUUGGUCUCGGAGACUGAAAGUUGCGGUUGGAUUGGCGUCUGUUUUGACGUAUCUGCAUCCGGAAUGUGAGCAGCAGGUAAUCCACAGGGACAUAAAGACUGUCAAUGUAUUGCUGGACGGGAAUUUAAACGCAAGGUUCAGUGAUUUCGGGUUGGCAAAGCUCAUGGAUCACGAUAAAAGCCAUUGUCUUGGUAGCUAUUGCAUCGGCCUUUUGGCUGGUCCAAUUUUAGGUACUGCUGGACUAAGUUCCAAUAUGCUCAUUGCAGUCCUCUUGCCCCGAAAGCAUCAAUUAAACAACAGCGGAAUGUGCUAAACUCUAUUCAGUUAUAUUGUUAAAGGAGCAAUUUCCCUUCUGCAAAAUGUAAAAUGCCCUCAGUUACCUCCUAUCAAAACCAAAAUACUUGUAAUAACUGGUUUUCGUUUCUCCUUGCAGAUUUCUAAAGUCCAUUUGUGAACGGUUUCUUGAGCAGGCGACACCCUUUCAACUCGAAAUGUAGCUGAAACGAGUACAACUUUUUUCGAUGUAUAGGAUUCCGUCGUAAUUGUUAUCUCAGAUAAUUUGCAGAUUGAUUGUAGUUAAGAAGAGUAACAAGUUCCAUUGGCAGAUAGGCAAUUACCUGAGCUACUCAGCAAAUAUAGCACAUUUUCUACGUGGGUUACAAAAGCAGCUCACCACAAAUAUAUACAAAUUUAACUACAACGGGAUGGUCCAAUGGUUGGGAACGAGUUUUAGACUCGUAUUCUACACAACACGUCCCGAGUUUGAUUUCUGGCGUUGGUGAAUCACAUGAUGGUGACCAAGGAAGGCUAAAAUGCUUUUGAGUCUUUCCAACCCUCAAAAUGGUGGACUACCAUGGCGAAGCCACUGGCAUUCUAGAAAGUGGUGCCAAAAAGCCAUGCUCUCUUCAACCAUUGUGUUUGUAGAGAAACAUAUGAGUAUAUACACCUACCUCAAGAUGACAGAGGCAUUGAAAGAUGAGUAAGCAUUCCGCCAUAUGGAACCACAGCAGUACAUAUGAGAGAAAAAAAAUACAUCAUCAAGGAGUUACUUGCAUCCCAUGCAGGGGUAAUCAUAUAUGCGAGAGAUUGCCGCCGCACCAAUCAACUACUAGUAAUAUGCAAGCUAAAACCGGUUGUUAUUAUAUUUGAUGAUACCGUCCUGAAAUUCAAAGAAACACGUAAAUGUUAGGGGAGAAAUUAAAAAUAAGAGAGAGAAGAAAGGGUAGCAUAGUUAAUCGGUACAGUUCAUUAGUUUUCUCUCUGGGCAGAUGAAGUCCCACAUACAUUCAAUCUUUAUAUAGAUGUUGACAAGAGCUGAGGUCUGCAGGUCCCUGUUCAAAGUCCAUUUCUGUCCAAAGACUUCAAACUUGACAGUCCAGAAAACCAGAGCACCAUUUGAUAAUCCUAUCUUUACAGCUUUACUCUGUUUGUUCGCUGCAUCAAUGAAACCGAUAUACCUGCUAGUACCAUCAAAUUGUCCUGACUUAGGAUAUAGUUGAAUUGAACUGUCAAAGAAAAAGACUGAUAUAUAAAAUGCAAUGUAGACAAAGCAAACUGAAGAUAGAAAAAGUGAGAGAGAGUAAAUUACAAUUUACAGCUGAUCUGCAAUGUUCCACCGGUGAAAUCCUCCUUAAUAUAUAUGCAAUCUAGUAAUGCAACGUACGUACUGGCAUUCAAGCAAGUACAGCCAUGAGGCACUCUUCAACUGUUGUGUAAGUAGCGAGAAACAUAUCUCCAGUGGACCUACCUGAAGAUUACAGUUACAGUGAAAGAUGAGAAAGUUAUGCCUCAAAUGAGACAAGCAUGAGAAAACCCUCACAUGCAGGAGAAUCAUAUAUAUCAGACUACAAAGAAGUCACUCCCCUCGCAUUCUCCUGUAAUUUCAUCGGAAUUAGACUCUGAAACUUGAAUUUAAGUAGGAAUAUUGUUGCUAAGGACAAUCAAUUUAAUCGUACCCAAUCAAUUUAAUAAUAAAUAAAAAAUUACCUGGCUUUUGUCUUGAGAGUUGAGAGUUGAGAUUUGGAGAGAGUGAAAUGAAGGCUCAUAUGAUGAUGACUUCUCCAUCGAUCUUUAUGCAAGGAAUGCGAGCUAUGUUUCUCCAAUCUUUUCCCUUCUUGGUCUCAUACCUCUUCUUCAGAGAAGGAAAAUUCUCAAUGCUCAGAUAAGAGAUGCCGGAAAACCCUCUUUUGGCAGCAAUUCGAGACUCUUACACCCUACAUUUCUGGCUGUUGAAGAGAAGUGAGGUGCUCAAGUCCCUUUCUGUCCAAAGAUUUCAGAUUCCAUACAUAAGAGAUCCAGAGAGUGUGAAGAGUGGCAGGGAGCAGGUGUUCAUUGAGCAAAAUCUCCAGCAGAUCCUUGUUUCCUUCGCUCCGAAAUUAAUUGGCUCCUGUAGGAAGAUUUCGUAUUAACCACCCAACAUCAAAUGUACUUAAAAGUAGUCAUUACAGAACAAAGCACACUAUGGUUCAUGAGCAAACUGAAAAGUAAUCAUUACAACUUAUGACUAUUACUAAGAUUAAAGUUUUUUAGGGUGUCAAAGAUUCACCUCAUCAAAAUCUUGUCGGAGAUUUCAACCCAGUUGAAGAAAAAAGAGUACAACACACCAACAAAUUACAAGUUAUGACUAUCUAGCUUGUAUUAAUUAAAACAUCCAAAAAAUGUCCAGGUGAGUCUUCAAACUAUAGCAACUCUUAAUAUCAUGCAAGUCUAUGUGCAACAUUUUUGGGCCUCUCAUCUCACAUAAUAUUGGAGCAAACGCAGAAUAAUCCUUCUCCUUUUGCAACAGUCCUGCCAAAGAUAGAGUGGAAUUACUCUCCACUUCCACAGCAGCAGCCCCCGAAUCAGCCGCCAUCGGCAGCCAACAACGUAGUGUUCUGGCCUAAAACGUACGUGGUAGAGAAAAAUGAACCCCCGCAUGCACUUGGCUGUACAGGCAGCAACAAUGUGUGUAGCUGCAUGCGAAUCAGAAAAACAAAUACCAUAUAAUAAGAGAAACAAUGAAUGGACCCCUUAGCGACUGGGAAAUCCAGCUAUGGGCGAUAACAUACAUGAAACACUACCAUGGUUGAGUUGCUACUUACCAAGAAGGCUUCCAAAUUUGCGAGCCCGCUGGGCCAACUUUCACCAUCAAACUUGGGUUAAGGCGUAUUAUCGUCCAUUUCUCCAUGGCAUCUUCCUCUUGAGCGGUUAACGAAUCAAACGAUUGCCUGGAUAUAUAGUGAGCAAUUCUGCAAUGUUCAAACCUCCGAGUCCAGAUGCAACUUUGAAUAUUCUCUUGAUUGCUCAUGAAAUCCACAAUGGUGAGAAGAAUGCUAUAACCUCUCAGUUCCUUUGGAUCACUUCCAGGAGAUAAGAUGUUCAUUGGCGGCAACAAUAGGCACAAUUUCAUUUAACGUAUGUGAUAUAUAUAUAUCUCUUUAAGGAUAGUAUGUGGAUGCAGAGUUUUGAUGAAAAUGUAGGAAAAGAACGCAGAGCUUUACCUUCACAUGCUUUGUACCAUUUCAUUAUAAAUCGAACUGUGAAAGCAAGUUUUCUCUCAAAUCCAUUUCAAUAGGAUGCCAACUCAACUGCUUUCCUUUUUCAUACCUCAGCUUAACAAGAUACUCCUAAAUUCAAAGAUGAAGAAAUUAUUAUUGAUACAUUUAUCUUAGAAAACAAGCGAAUGGAACUUAAAACAAAAGAGAGUGGUGGAACGCUCAAUUACCGCUCAUCCGCAGUGCUCAACGUAAGAAUUACCAUUCUUGUGAAAUCCGUUGCACACCAGCCAACCACUUAUUCAAGUAAUAUCAUUUACUGGAAUAGCAACAAACACAAGCAUGACAACACUGCUACAAGGAACAAGAGCGCUGUUCAACCACUGUAUGUAUAAAAGCAUAUCUGCACCCAGAGUUGCCAUCUGCAUCAAUAAAGCCGACAAAUACGUUAGUCCCAUCGUGUUGUCCUUACUGAUUGCAUAGUUGAAUUACAUUGAUACAUAAAGGAAGAACAAAUUACACUCGAAGUGUUCAACUACUUACACUUAAAUCCGUAGGCGCAGCAGCCAGCCACCAAGUCUAGUCACAUGGGCAUUCUAGCAAGCGGUGCCAAUAAGCCAAGCUCUCUCCAACCAUUGUGUUUGUAGAGAAACAUAUGUGUAUGCACCUACCAAAAGAUGACAGAAGCGUUGAAAGAUGAGUAAGCAUUCCGCCGUAUGGAAACCACAGAAGUAUACAUAUACACAAGUACCUGAGUGGUUGAAGUAAGCUAACAUCGUUUCCCCCCGUGAUAAUCCUAUCUUUACAGUUCAAUAGUUUUCUCUCUGGACCGACGAAGUCCCACAUACAUUCAAUCUUUAUAUAGCUAUUCAAGAGAGCUAAGGUCUAGAGGUCCCUGUCCUGGAAGGAAUUGCGUGCGUGGGAGGCGUUGAAAGUCCAUUUCCACCCGAAAUAUUUCAUACUUUACAGUCCAGAAAAUCAGAGCCCCAUUUGAUAAUCCUAGCUUUACAGGUUCGCUUGCUCGCUGUGUCAAUGAAACCGAUAUAUCAGAAGAUUAGAGUCAUGUCGCAAACGAGAUAAGUAUGAGAAAAGCAUCAUCCAGGGUUUUACCUCUUGUCAUGCAGGAGAAUCAUAUAUAUCGACCUCUCCUGUAAUUUCACUCCCCUCGCAUUUGGCUGCACAGUCCUGCCAACAACAACUUCAACGCAGAAUAAUGCUUCUCCCUUUGCUACAGUCCUGCCAAAGAUAGAGUGGAAUUAUAUCCACUUCCAUAGCAGCAGCCUCCAAAUCAACCGCCAUCGGCAGCCAACGACGUAGUGUCAUGGCCUAAAAUGUACGUGGUAGAGAAAAAUGAACCCCCGUGUGCGCACUUGGCUGCACAGGCAGCAACAAAGUGUGUGGCUGCAUAUGAAUCAGAAAAAAAAUGAAAGGACCCCUUAGCGACUGGGAAAUCCUGCUAUGUGCUAUCAUGUACAUGAAGCACUACCAUGGUUGAGUUACUACUUACCAAGAAGGUUUCUAAAUUUGAGAGCCCGCUGCUCCAACUUUCACCAUCAAACUUGGGUUAAGGCUUAUCAUCAUCUAUUUCUCCACGGCAUUUUCCUCUAGAGCAGUUAACGAAUCAAAUGAUUACCUGCAUAUAUAGUGAGCAAAUCUGCAAUGUUAAGGCUAGCCGACAUUCACCUCUCCCAGACCCUGCGUAAAGCGGGAGCCUUGUGCACUGGGUACGACCGUUUGUUAACUUGCUACAUCACACACACUAAUAUAUAGAAAACAAACCUCCAAGUCCAGAUGCAACUUUGAAUAUUCUCUUGAUUGCUCAUGAAAUCCACAAUGGUGAGAAGAAUGCUAAUAUAUAGCAAACAAGCCGACAAAUACGUUAGCGUGUUGUCCUGACUGAUUGCAUGGUUGAAUUACAUUGAUCCAUAAAGGAAGAACAAAUUACACUCAAGUGUUCAACUACUUACACUGAAAUCUGUAGGCGCAGCAGCUAGCCACCAAGUCUAUUUACGCUGGCAUUCUAGCAAGCGGUGCCAAUAAGCCCUGCUCUCUUCAUCCAUGGUGUUUGUAGACAAAAAUAUGUGUAUGCAGCUACCACAAGAUGACAGAGGCAUUGAAAGAUGAGUAAGCAUUCCGCCAUAUGGAAACCGCAGCAGUAUAUAUAUACACAAGUACCUGAGUGGUUGAUGUAAGCUAACAUCGUUUUCCCUCUGAUAAUCCUAUCUUCACAGUUGAAUAGUUUUCUCUCUGGACCGACGAAGUCCCACAUACAUUCAAUCUUUAUAUAGCUGUUCAAGAGAGCUGAGGUCUAGAGGUCCCUGUCCUGGAAGGAAUUGCGAGAGUGGGAGGUGUUGAAAGUCCAUUUCCAUCCAAAAUAUUUCAAAAUUGACGGUCCAGAAAUCGGAGCACCAUUUGAUAAUCCCAUCUUUACAGGUUUGCUUGCUCGCUGCAUCAAUUAAACCGAUAUAUCUGUUAGUCCCAUCACAUCUACCAGAACAUUACAGUUAUGGUGCAAACGGACUACAAAAAAUUCUUGUACAAUCAGGAGUACUAAAUCAAAAUCCCAAACAGAGUUUUAAUCCAAACCAAAACUGGAUUACUCUUAUAAACAAAUUGAGACCUUAUCACUUUAUUCUAAUCUGAAAUAACUGAACCGUGUGAAUCAUAAUCACACUCUAACAGAAAGUGUUUCAAAUGCAUUAAAUAGGUCAAUACAAAGAGUACCACUUGUUGACAUUACUGAGAUUCCAAACCCUCCUGCAUCAGUUUCUAAAGCUGAACCAUAUGCAGAUAGACUUAGUCUAGAUUCCGUGAACACUGAAUUCAGCUUAACAGGCACUCAUAAGAGCUUCAAACAGAGGCUUGGAAUCCAAAACAGAAGCAAGAGAAGAUAUAACAAUAAGGAGAACCUGAGCAUGUCACAAGGAACAAACGAUAUUAAGGGGACCACUAGAUCACUUCAUAAAAGGUUCAGUAAACUAAAAUUAUCUGGGAAAACCAGUUUGAGAAAAGGUGGUUCAAGUUUAUCAGAGCAGGAGCCGAAGCAUAACAAUAUUGUGUCCAGCAUGACUUCUUUCAUUCCACUUGUUCAACAGAAACACGCAGCUGCAGUUGUAACAGGUAAUUUCUUACUAGUAAUCUUAACCUUUGAACUUUGGAUUUUGCAUUACAUGUACAUAUUCCAUAUGAUUGUUUUUCUGAGUGUGGAUCAUAAUUGUACGUCUAAACUGGGUUACAGUAUGGAUGAUGGUUUUAUUUUUACUGAAUUAGGGAAUGUUUUAUUUGGAGUAGUAAAUUAGCAAUGAAUGUCUGGGAUCAUCAAGUAAAAUUUAGAGUGCAUAUUUGAAAGUCCCAUGAAAGCUGAGUUGCCCCAUUGUCCUCCAUAAGUAUGUUAUAGGUGACUUCAUCUUGUCAUACGGAGCUUGACAGUGAUUCAUUUGUUUUUUUAUUGUAUCCUUGUGAAUUCUUGUGAGUAUUCUGGGAUAUUUUUCUUUGUUUCUUUUUUUCUCUCCAAUGACUUGAUUCAGUAUUUUGACCUAUUUGUGUUUUCUUGCAGGGAAGAGGGACGUCAAAGUGAAGGCCCUGGAGGCAGCUGAAGCUGCAAAGCGUCAGGCAGAAAAGAAAGAGAAUGAACGCAAGAUGAAGAAGGAAGCCUUGAAACUUGAGCGGUCAAGAAUGGAGCAGGAGAAUAUGAAGCAGUUGGAGUUGCAGAAGAAAAGGAAAGAAGAAGAGAGGAAGAAAAAAGAGGCAGAUAUGGCAUCAAAUAAGAGACAAAGGGAAGAGGAAGAAAGGAAGGAGAAGGAAAGAAAAAGAAUGCGUAUUGAAGCACGUAGAAACAAGAGAGAACAUGAAGACAAGUUACCUGCAGAAAAGGUAGAGAAAGAAAUGAAAACCCUGGCCAUUGUAUGAUUCUUUAUGGUCUGCCUCAUUUCAUUAUAUCUAUCUUUUUGCAAUGUUAGAUAUCACUUGUAUAUUGGGCUGUCUUGUGUAGGAUGGAAGAGGCCCUGGGGGUAAGGAAUCUAAGGAUGAAAUGGCAAAUAAGAAAAUGGAGGAAGAAAGGGGAUAUGACAAUAACAUAAAUAUUUCGGAGACUAAGCCUAGUACUUCCAGGAUUUCAAUAAGCAAUGCUGGAAAAGAAAGUAUUGUCCACGAAGAGUUCCACGAGGCUUCUAGUAAUUAUGGAUAUAAAGCAGAGGUAAAUGCAAAUGAUUUUUUAACAACCAAUACCCACCAUAUCUUAGGAUCUACUUGCAUAUAUUGAGUGCUUUCACUUGUGUAGGCUGGAGCAUGAUGAUAAUCCUCUGUUAAUGGAGUUUGAAAGUCCAGAUGCAACUUUGAAUAUUCUCUUGAUUGCUCAUGAAAUCCACAAUGGUGAGAAGAAUGCUAAUAUAUAGAAAACAAGCCAACAAAUACGCUAGUCCCAUCGUGUUGUCCUGACUGAUUGCAUAGUUGAAUUACAUUGAUCCAUAAAGGAAGAACAAAUUACACUCAAGUGUUCAACUACUUACACUGAAAUCUGUAGGCGCAGCAGCCAGCCACCAAGUCUAUUUACACUGGCAUUCUAGCAAGCGGUGCCAAUAAGCCCUGCUCUCUUCAUCCAUGGUGUUUGUGGACAAAAAUAUGUGUAUGCAGCUACCACAAGAUGACAGAGGCAUUGAAAGAUGAGUAAGCAUUCCGCCAUAUGGAAACCGCAGCAGUAUAUAUAUACAAAAGUACCUGAGUGGUUGAUGUAAGCUAACAUCGUUUUCCCUCUGAUAAUCCUAUCUUCACAGUUCAAUAGUUUUCUCUCUGGACCGAUGAAGUCCCAUAUACAUUCAAUCUAUAGCUGUUCAAUAGAGCUGAGGUCUAGAGGUCCCUGUACUGGAAGGAAUUGCGAGAGUGGGAGGUGUUGAAAGUCCAUUUCCAUCCAAAAUAUUUAAAAAUUGACGGUCCAGAAAAUCAGAGCACCAUUUGAUAAUCCCAUCUUUACAGUUUUGCUUGCUCGCUGCAUCAAUUAAACCGAUAAAUCUGUUAGUCCCAUCACAUGUACCAGAAGAUUACAGUUAUGGUGCAAACGGGAGAAGUAUGAGAAAUCAUCCAGGGAUUUACCUCUUCUCUUGCAGGAGAAUCAUAUAUAUUGACCCCAAGUAGUUCCACAGUAUCAGACUACAAAAAAUUCACUCCCCUUGCACUCUCCUGUAAUUUCAUUGGAAUUGGACUCUGAAACUCUAAUUUAAGCUGGAAUAUUGCUGAGGACAAUCAAUUUAAUAAUAAAUAAAAAAAGUACCUGGCUUUUGUCUUGAGAGUUGAGAGUUGAGAGUUGGAGAGAGUGAAAUGAAAGCUCAUAUGAUGGUGAUUUCAUCAUCUACGUUUAUGCAAGGAAUGCGAGCUAUGUUUCUCCAAUCUUUUCCCUUCUUGUUCCCAUACCUCCUCUUCAGAGAAGGACAACCCCGGAUCUUCAGAUAAGAAAGAGAUGCCGGCAAACCCUCUUUUGGCAGGAAUUUGAGACUCUCGCAGCCUGAAAUUUGUAACUGUUGAAGAGAAGUGAGGUGCUCAAGUCCCUUUCCGUCCAAAGAUUUCAGAUUCGAUACAUCAGAGAUUUCGAGAGUGUGAAGAGUGGCAGGGAGCAGCUGUUCAUUGAGCAACGUCUCCACCAGAUCCCAGUUAACGAUAGAUAAUGUUUGUAGAUUGGGAGGCAAACCCCCUUGUGCAAAUGACACCACAUUUGGAAGACACUCUAUCGACAAAUGUUGAAGGGCGGUGAGGGUGUGCAUUCGGUCCGGCAACAACUUCAAAUUCACGCAAUGGUCUACUGAAAAGUAAGUCAGGUUGGGAGUGGGCAAUCCUCCGUCAGGAAAAGAGACAAGAUUUGGAAGACUGCCUAUCAAUAACCUUUGAAGGGCGGUGAGGGUGUGCAUUCGGUCCGGCAACAACUUCAAAUUCUCGCAGUUGUAGACAUGAAAGAAAGUGAGGUUGGCAGUGGGCAAUCCCCCGUCGGGAAAAGAGACAAGAUUUCGACAUAUCUGGAUAUCCAGGUAGUUGAGAUGGCGGAGAUUUUCAUCUGCUCCUCCUUCAACUGAAAGAGAUUCCAGAUUCUGACAACGCAUUAUACGAAGAGAUGAAAGGUUGGGGAAAAUGCCCAAAGGGAACGACCUCAUCUCACCUGAUAGAAAUUCUAAUUUCUUGCAAUUUACUAUACGGAGUGACGUCAGCGUGGUGGGCAGACCAUUUGUAGGGAACGACAAGAGUGAGCAACAUUCAUAUAAUGUCAAACUUUGAAGAUGAUUGCUGUUGUGCACCAUUUGCGGCAACCACUCUCUCCCACCAUCAUCGUAAAUAUCAAGACUCUGAAGCGACGGCAGCGUCUCCGUCGACUCGAGUAACAAUGAGAGACCCGGACAUCCCUUUAUUGUCAGUUGUUCAAGAGAUCGUCGUAAGGAUUCCGUGUUCAGAGUAUUACUGGCCCUGUUUUCAUGUAGAACCUUACAUCCAUCGACCCAAAGGAUUUUCAAGGAAGGAAGAUGAGUGGGCAAGCUUCCUCUCAGCUUCGGACAUUGGCGUAACCUCAGCUCCUUAAGACGAGGAAAGCCUGGACUUUCACCUCCACUUGGACUUGGCUGCCAUUCUUCCCACUCUGGCAUCUCCCGAAACUCUAGCUUCUCUAAACAUUGAAAUGGUUGAUUUCCCCCGUACAACUCAACACCAACACUCUUAACAACUUUCAUCCUUUCUACGUAGAGCUCUUUCAGAGCAGGUAGCUGACCAACUAGUGGCAAUGAACUGCAAUUACUACAGUCAUUGAGACGCAUCACUUGUAAGUUGGAGAAGGACGAGUCUCCCACCCAAUUCGGGAAACUGAUUCCGCCAUAACACCUGACGGUUAGUUUCACCAAAUUUACCGAAGGCUGUAGUCUUUCGAGUACAUGUCUCUCUUUUACAAAAUCAUCGGAAACUUCAGGACCCCAUGCCAACUCUACCUCUUUGAGAUCUUUCUUAUCCUUCAACAACGCAUCAAUAGCACCGACUACAUUUUGCAGAUUCAAGAUGGAAAUUUUUCCUCCAAGGUGCGACAACUCCCUCAGUUCUCCAAUAUUGGACCCAGUAGAUUUCCCCAGCACAAAAGCUGUCAGUGUUCUCAAACUUUUUAGUCUACCCAUAUGCACCGGCAUCUCUUUUAUUUUAGUUCCACCAAUAUCAAGAUGACGCAAAUGAAUCAAUUUCCUCAUGUCUGCAGGCAAUUCAACAAGAGAAGAACAACCUAACAACAAUAGAGUUUGUAAAUUGUAGAGAGUACACACUCUAUCUGAUAACCUUUUAAUUGCCGUAUAAGAGAGAUCAAUGUAGCGCAAGUGCAUGUGGUUACCAAUGGAAUCAGGUAAGUGAGUGAUAUUCAUAUAUCUUGAUAAUGAAAUUGCCCGUAAACAUUUUUGUGCUGGCAAUAAAUCAUCUAGAAUCUUAUUGCUUACAUAUCCACCAUUCCAACUAUAAUGUGGUGGUAAAGACACUGGAAAGAAGGUACGCAAACACUUAACUCCUUUUAAUGGCUCAAAUAUUGGAGAUGUAUCAAAUUUUCCUCUCAUAUAUGACAAGUGGCGAACUUUUUUAGAAACUUCGUGCGAAUUUUUUUGAUCCAACCUCAAACAAAACUCUCCAGACACAAACAUAGCCAAGUCAUUAAUAAGAUCAUGCAUAGUGAAACUUGGUUUAUCCAAUCUUGGUCUUUGAAAUAGUGAACGCGAUAACAGUUCAUUAAAGUACCUUUCACCAACCUCCUCCAUUGCUUUCUUGCUCUCUAAUUGUGGAAUUAAACCUUCUGCCACCCAUAGUAGAAUAACAUUUUUCUUUUCAAACUCAUAGUCCUUUGGAAAGAUUGAGCAAUAAGCAAAGCAUCGUUUCAAGUAAGCCGGAAGAUAGUGGUAACUCAAUCUUAGAGAAGGAAGAAGACUAUUAGGGUGUGGCAGAUCCCAAAGAUUACUAUCCAAUAUGUGAUUCCACUCCUUGUAGUCUAGGUUGCAACUUAAGAGACCCCCUAGCGUUUUUGCGGCUAGAGGUAAACCGUUGCACUUACGUGCAAUUUGCUUACCAAUUUCAACCAAGUCUGGAUGUGCACCGGGGUUUUCAUUUCUAAAUGCAUGUUUUUCCAGUAACGACCAGCAGUCUUCAUCCAACAAUUCUUUUAAAUCGUGAAUAGGAAUAGUAUUGUGCACGAUGGCUGCAACACGCCUGCUCCUUGUUGUUACAAUGACCUUACUUCCCCUUGCCCCAUACGUGAAAAGAAUUCGUAGACGCUCCCAGUCAUCAUAGUUUUCAUUCCAAAGGUCAUCCAAGACAAGUAAAAAUCUCUUUCCACUCAGUUGUUCCCUUAGUUGAACUUCAAGGGAAUUCAUCUCCAAAUUUUCACAAGGCUUUUUAGUGAUUUCCUGAAUAAGGGCCUUAAUAACCCUCAAAGCCUCAUACUGUUCGGAAACACAAACCCAAGCAUGAAUGUCAAAGUGCUUUUUAACUCGUUCAUCGUUGAAAAGGAGUUGAGCAAGAGUUGUCUUACCAACCCCGCCCAUACCGACUAUAGGGACUACAGAAAAAUUACUGCUACUUUCAUUGUCAGAUAACAGCAGUAGAUCUUUUAACUUGUCUUUAUCUCCAUCCCUACCAUAGGUAUAAAAUCCGCCCUCAACAACAGAAGUUGUGGGAGUUCUUUGUGAAACAUUGCCUCCAACAACAUCUUCUCUAAGACGGAGGAUAUCUUUUUGAUUUGCAAGGUGUUCCAACUUCUUGAAUAAAACUUCUAUCCUACCAUUCAUGCCUUUAUAAUUAAAAGGUUUACGACAGGUAGAAAGGAAGUUCCACACCUGGGUUUUCUUAGUCUGAUCUUUCGCCUUGCGACGCGAAACUUCAGUAUCGAUCUCAUCCACCAAGUCCUCGGCCUCGAACACAGCAUGUUUGAGCUCAUCAAGCCACUUCCCGACGUCAGGGUCGACAAUCUGCUUCUCCUCAGCGUCGUUGAGCACUGCACGGAGAUUCACCAACUUCAUCUUCAGUGUGUCCAGGAGUGAAUAGUCGAGUCUUCCUGCCCGGAAGAAGUCUAUGAACUCUCCGGAGGCAAUCUUGUCGCACAGCAACUGGAUGGAACCGGAGAGCAAAGCCUCUCCAACGAAAGCCAUUUUCUCGUCUUGGCAAAAGGACUAAUUUUGAUCAAGUAUUUGGAGUUGACAAACUGAAAAUUAUUCUUGGCAAAGCCUGUAAGAUUACUUCAUGACUGGUGAGACGACUUGAUCUUUUUCUUGGUCAAUAAUGCAGUGGACCACACACGGCAAACAUAAAGUAUAAAGUGGUGGAAGUUGGGAAACGUUUCCAUCCAACAUUAAUUUAUUAAUUAUUUUCUUCCAUAAAAUAAUCGUUGUUGGUCAUGAACAUUGGUGGAGGUUGGAAAACAUUACAUCAACCAUUAAUUUAUUUAUUAUUUUCAAUGUGUCUAAAACAUUAACCGGUAUAUCAAGUAUAAUAAUACAAUUGAUCGAAAUUUUUUUUUUCAAGUUUCUAAUUCAAUUGUCUUAGUACACUUGGCAUAACAAGCCGUGUUCCUGACAUAUUGAUUAAUCUCCCCACACAUCAAGAGGCCUAAAAUAUAUCAAUCUUCUUACCCUUAGUAUAACGGUUAUAAUUAUUAUAAUUUAAAAAUGAUCCUCUUACUUGUAACCGUUAGAUGUGUUAGUGAGAAGGAUCUGCCCCUUACGCUCCGACCACACACGUCAAACAUAGAGUAGUAAUUGGUGGAGUUUGGAAAAACACAGUAAAAAGAGGGGUGUGCUAUCCACAUCUCUUUUUAUUUUUUCCACUCCUUGUUAAUUUUUGUAAUUUGAUAUUCUUUAAUUCAUCUGAUCCGACGGUGAAAAAUUAAAAAAAUAAGAAAAAUAAAAAAUAAUAUGUGGAUAUCACAUCCCUAAAAAGAAUCACGCAAUACAUUUGGAUCUCAACAUUUUUCCGUAUGAUAAGAUCACAUGUUCCCACCAUCGUCUUGUAACCAUCGUCUUGUCACCAUCUUGUCAUUAUUUCUACUCUGGUUCUAAUUCCAAGGGGAACAUCUUCGUGUGAAAAAUAAAGUAAAAGUUUCUGGCAGGACCUCAAUGUUGGGUUGAAUUUCUACAAUUAUUAUUUACAUUUUAUACUUUUAAUCUCAACCACUAUUAUACUUUUAAUCUCAACCACUUAUUUUCUACAACAUUCAUUAUCAUGUGCUAUGGGGAAAAAAAAAAUAAAAAUAAAAACUUGAAAAGUUUCUUGCUUUUUCUUGCUUUGCCUAUAUUUUCAACAUUAAUGGGACCAUUCGUGUUUACGAUUUGGUUUGCCUAUUCAUUCAACGUUCAUGGGACCAUUCUGCUUUGCCUAUAUUUUCUUGCGUUAACCAAUUUUGACUCAAAGUUAACAUGUUUUUGCACAAAACUAAUUAAGAACACACUCGAGUUCCAUACCUUAUAUUGUCAAAUUAUCGAAUUUGAUGCCGCAUAAUUAUACAAAAGUGCAUUUAGAUUAACAGUGCACUUCCUCUUUUACAUCUAAAUUUGAACCUCCAUUUUUAUCGCUAUAAUUUAUACGAGUUUAAUAUAAAUUAUCUUAUCAUUUAUUAAAAACCCCACUUCAUAAAUAAGUAGAUGCGAUAUGUUUAAAUGCAAAUCUGUAACAAAAACAAUGGAAAAGAAUAAGUACAGAUGUUUAUGGAUAGCAAAGGUCUCGAAAACAUAUAUACUCCACAAAAUCUAGCACGAGAGUAUUGAGCCUAGAUAAUAUAACCUCCUCCCCAAUACUAAUUUAUAGCUGAUUUAUUUUGUGGUUUAGCUAAAAUCACCAAUUCUCAUUAUCAUUGUACAAAUAAAUAAAUAAAGAGUAAAUAGUAGCAAUAGUUUCUUUAACUUUAAUCAAAUUGGUUAAAGUUAAGGGACUAUUGCUCCAAUUGAGUUAAAAUUAAAAGAUUAUUUCUCCAAUUGGAUUAAAGUUAAGAGAUCAAUGUUAAUGAAUUUUUAGUUGAGGGACCGCACGUUUUGAUGGGUUAAGGAACUAAUGAUAAUAGAUUUGUAGUUGAUGGACUAUUGCUCCAAUUAAGUUAAAGUUAAGGGAUCAUUGCUACAAUUUAUUCAUAAAUUAAACAAAGGUAAGAAGAGAUAUGAAAUAUUGCAGAAGAAUUGUUAUUGACACUCCAAAAAAAUCAUUAUGCAUUUGUGUAACAAAGUUAUCAAGGAUGGAUUGAGUGCACGAUGACUUUCUUUUGCUAAUAACAAAUUCCUAAAGUGGAUCACAUUAUUAAUAUUGCUUUUGGAAAGAAUUUCUGUUAUCUGCAUCUUCUACAUAUAUAAAGUCAAAAGGGAAAACAGGUGAAACAUUUAAUAUUUCAAAAUUGCCCCUUUUAUUACAGGUUAUAUAAGAGUAAAAAUGUAAGGACAUGAUGGUAAAACCAGGCAAAGGAGAGAAAGUGGAGGAAAAAACUAGAACAUGCUUACAGAAAGAAACUAUAUUUGAAGCAUCCGUUUGGUUGCCCAGCCCACAAAAAAAAUAAAAUAAAAUAAAAAUCCCACAAUUAAAUCUACAAACAACGGAAAUGUGACACUGAUGUUAGCAAACUUUUAUGGUCUUCAAUCUCGAUAAUUUAUGUGCACAUUGGAAUCCAUACUUCAUACUUCACUUGUUUUUGUUGAUCUCUUGUGAUAGGAUACUGUGUGAUAACUGAAUUGGUUGAUAAGUAAGCAUUGUAUUAGUGCUGACUAGGACAGAUAUGUAUGGUUAAAAAGGAUAAGGUUGUUAGUAGUAAGCUUACGGAGGAAGCUAACUAGCUACUAUAUUAGAAAGGAUUGUAAACGGAAGGGUCGUUGUUGUAAUUGUUGUUAAUUGUAAUAGAAAGUUACUUGUUACUGCUACAUAGAAGUCAAGAUGCAGAGUUAGGGUUCUAUCAUUGGUAUCACCGCCAGUGCAUUCGAUCCGGCUUGAUCCUUCUUCGUGUAUGACUCGGCUCGGUUCCAGACGCACCAUGGAAACGAGAGUAUCUCAGCUUGAGUCCCUAUUUGCUGAUUUCCAGAAGGAGUUCAAAGAUUCCAGGCAUGAAUUUCAAGAAUCAAGAACUGAAUUUCGAAAUGCCCAUGAGCUGAUUUUGCAGCAAUUGCAGGUGUUAUCGACGAGAGGUAGUGGGUUGAUGGGCGAAUCGUCGGAAGGGACACAUUCUGAUCACAAUUUACCGCCGGGAGUGAAUCCUCAGUUUGUUCGUCAAGAAUCGAUUCCGUCGCCUCGACAACCAUUUAUCAAGAUCGAUUUUCCCAGAUUUAGUGACGGCGAUGACCCCUUGGGGUGGAUCUACAAAGCAGAGCACUAUUUUGAUUUCUUCGGUGUCGAGGAUUUCAAGAAAGUAAAGAUGGCAUCAUUCCAUCUGGAUGGCGAACCUCUACAAUGGUUCCAAUGGGCUAAUUGUAUCCGGACAUACCCUAGGUGGGAAGAUUUCACUCAAGCUCUUUGUCAAGAAUUUGGUCCGUCGGAGUUCGACGAUUCGGCAGAAAGCUUGGUUAAACUUCGCCAAACGGGAUCUCUGCGUGAUUACAUCUUGGAGUUUCGAAGAUUGGCGAAUCGUACAAGGGAAGUUACCCCAUCUCUCUUGCGAUCUUGUUUCAUUGGUGGUCUUAAAUCGGAGCUGCGUCAUGAUGUCAAAAUCCUAAAGCCCAGAGACGUUCUGGAGGCCACUGCUUAUGCUCAACAGAUCGAUGCCAAGUUGUCUGAAUUAAAGGUCAAGUCUUUUCCUCGUUCAUCUGUUAAUUCUUCGUUUCGUCCUCCAUUACAGAAUGUUGCUGAUACUGUUGUGGGAAAUAACAAAUUCAAACAUGAAAAUGUGAGGCGAUUGACACCUGAAGAGGUCGAAUACUGUCGGAAACAUGGUCUUUGCUUCCAUUGUAAGGAAAAAUUUGUUCGCGGCCACACUUGUGAGAAGAAACAACUUUUAUUGAUUGAUGUUCAGUAUGGUAGUGAUAAUGAAGCCUCUGACAUUGAAAAUUUGGAACCUGAGAUUACAGCAUGUGCCCUUUUUGGUACCCCAGCUCCUAAGUCAAUUAAAACCAUGAAGGUUCUUGGUAGUAUUAGGAAUUGUCCGGUGGUAAUACUUAUCGAUUCUGGUAGUUCCCAUAACUUCGUGGAUUCUGUGUUGGUCAAGAAAAUCAAUGGACAAUUGAAUACAGAUCAUUCUUUUAGUGUCAAGAUUGCGGAUGGGGGCCAAGUCAAGACUACAGGUUCUUUAGGGGCUGUUUCACUCAAGAUUCAACAAGAAUCUACUAUAUUAGAAAGGAUUGUAAACGGAAGGGUCGUUGUUGUAAUUGUUGUUAAUUGUAAUAGAAAGUUACUUGUUACUGCUACAUAGAAGUCAAGAUGCAGAGUUAGGGUUCUAUCAUCUUGGCACAUCUAUACUAAAUUGUUUGGUGUUAGUCGGUUUGUUUGAUUCAUAUUUCAAUUUUGUAAGUAGCCAGAGUAUCUUAGGAAAUGAAAAUAUCAAAAAUAAAAUAAACAUUUGUAAAUAGUGUCAAGCGCAUGUAGUUAUAAAUUUGUAAGUCACACGUAGCAUGCCUGAUUAAAGGCCUUUAAUCCAUGUCCCAUUGUUAGCACGCCUGAUUAAAUGCCUCUAAUCCAUGUACCAAUUGUUAACAAUGAUAAACAACUAAUGCAACAUAUUUUAGGGGUGGGUAACGCCUGUGAUUAAAAAACCUUACGCGCAUGCAGAGAUGCUAGUUUAGAGUAAAUAAAGAAGACUGUACAUACGCAAAUGUGGGAUAAACUAGGGUUGGAUACGGCCAGGCCAAACUCAAAAUUGAAGCAGAUGGACCGGACCCGUUUGUAACUGAAAUGUGACGGGACAGUGCUGGUCUUGUUAGCUGAGAAAUGAAACCGGACUUAACCUGACUCGUUUGAAAUGAACCUGUUCCUACAGGUCCAAGGGUCAUUUUUUUAUAUAAAUUUUUUGUUAAUAAACUAUGACUGUUGUGCUUAAAGUAUAAGCUGGGUGUGCUUGAACAAAAUAGCUGUUGUGCUACAAGUAAAAGCACAAUAAAUUAUAGUGGAGUAGCCUACCAUCACUUUUCAAUUUUCAUAAGUUCCAAGUGAGCCGAAGGCAAAGGCUAACAGUCAGCCAAAAUGCCCAACUGAAAAUAUAGAAAAGAAAGUACACAAACAGCAAGUUACAAAAUGAUUGUCCUUUAAACCAAAUCAUGGUGACGCCAAAUUGCCACAAACCAACUUGCAAAUUUGAAUUCUUCAAAUCUAGAAGACAAUCUUAACUCCAUGCAACCUCCCUAAUAAAAUUAAAUCAAUCACAAAACCCUAAUAGCAAUUGAUUAACAUGAGAUUAAUAAAUUUCAUCGAAAAUCUAAUUAGAUAAUACCUUUAAAUUAACCACAAAAAUAACAAAACCGCAUCAAAAUCCCAAUUUUCAAUUCCACUGUAGAGAGAAAUCGAGUAGAUCCCCCAAUAAAAUGAAACAUGCAAAUGAGAAUUAAAUAAUUACAACUCAAAUUAAAAGCUUAUGCUUUCAUAGACAUCUGAAUUCUUGAAAAUUUACCCAUCUAGGCGGUAGCCCCAAUUAGUCGAAAUCGAUCGAGCAUGAGAGAUUUUCUUUCAUAGACAUUUGUUUUACUAGACAUUUGCUUUCAAACGAGCAUGAGAGACUCAUGUAGAACAAGAUAUGGAUUAAUUUUGAAGACAUCCAUCAUAUGGUAAAUUAUUAGAAUUGGAUAUCUACUUUUCCCUACAAUAAUAACUGGGUGUUGUUAUUGGAACUCAACUCACAAUCAAAAUAUAAUUAUCAUUCAUUUUUCUCUCUUCGUGGCCAAAGGACUAAUUUUGAUCAAGUAUUUGAAGUUGGGAAACUGAAACUACAUUUAUGUGCUCAUCUGAAAACCACAUUUAUUUGAUCACGUUUUCUUUCAUUACUUUUUUUUAUAUACAUUUUCUAACAUGCCAUUACAUAAUCUGAUCUCUUUUUAAUUGUAUUAUUGUAUCAGGUAAAAAAAACCACAUUUAUGGUAAGGACUUUAUGCAGAGCGGGCGGGAACCACCAAUAUUUUGGUGGUUCUGUCAAAUGCCUUAAUUGUUGCUGAAGAUUCAAGAGUUACAGCAUUUUAUGGUGAAAGUAAUAUUUCUUUAUCUUUAACUAACAAAUUGAUUAUUACUCGACUAUGUUUAUAGUAUAUGCAGUAUAUUAAUUGGUUCUAAUUUAUAUAUACAGUUCGACCCGAAGAAAAGAAAGUUAAACGCAUUUCUAAGAAUCCUCCAACACGAGCAACAUGAUGUCAUGAUCAAUGUGAUGCGCAUUAUAUGUUAGGACAUAUAUUCACAAGGAAGAUAUUAGAGUCCAUUAGGAGAGAGCAAUGCUUCUUUCCUUGCUUGGAAAUUCGCCUAUUUUUCCCUCUUCCACUUCACAAGGACUUGUAUCAGGAGGUUUGAAUGCAUUCAUAUUGAUCAUGACACCAUGUUGCUCGUGUUGGAGGAUUCUUAGAAAUGCAUUUAACUUUCUUUUCUUCGGGUCUAACUGUAUACAUAAAUUAGAACCAAUUAAUAUACUACAUAUACUAUAAAAAUAGUCAAAUAAUAAUCAAUUCGGUUGUUAAAGAUAAAGAAAUAUUACUUUAGCCGGAAUAUGAUGUAACUCUUGAAUAUCCAGCAACAAUUAAGGCAUCUGGCUGAACCACCAAAAUAUUGGUGGCUCCCGCCUGCUCUGCAUAAAGUCCUUACCAUAAAUGUGGUUUUCUUUGCCUGAUACAAUAAUACAAUUAAAAAGAGAUGAGCACACAAUCAAAUUAUGUAAUGGCAUGUUAGAAAAUGGAUAUAAAAAAACGUAAUGAAAGAAAACUAAAGACAGAAAACUUGGUUUUACUUACUGUCUUAGAGAUUUUCUGUUUAAUUGUUCUCAUCAAAUUGUUUGUCUACUUUCAUUUGGUCUUUUAUAAUGUAUAAGAUUGUGUUUGAAGGGGUGAAUAUACUGAUGAACUGAACGCAGUCAAACCUCAUGAUACAAGUCCGUGUGAAGUGGAAGAGGGAAAAAUAGGCGAAUUUCAAAGCAAGGAAAGAAGCAUUGCUCUCUCCUAAGAGGGAAAAAUACCGACUAUAGGGACUACAGAAAAAUUACUGCUACUUUCAUUGUCAGAUAGUGUUUUUAACUUUUCUUUAUCUUUAUCCCUACCAUAGGGACAGAAUCCUUCCUCAACUACGUAAGUUGUGGGAGUUCUUUGUGAAACCUUGCGCCCAAUACCUUCUCUAAGACCAAGGCGAUUUCGCUGUUCUGCAAGGUGUUCUAACCUCUGAAAUAACUCCUCUAUCCUACCAUUCAUGCCAUUGUAAUUAAAAGGAAUACGAGAGGUAGAGAGGAAAUUGCACACCUGGGAAUCAGAAAACACAUUCAUCAGGAUUUGAACCCAUGGGAAUCCUGCAAGGUGUUCUAACCUCUGAAAUUAUAAACCGAUUAAAGUUUCAGCAACAAGGAGAUUACUCAAUCAGAAAACACAUUCAUCAGGAUUUGAACCCAUGGGAAUCAGCUGUAAUUAAUAAUUAUCAAUAAUUAAAAGUAAUGAACCAGAAAUUCUAGCAAAAAUAAUUCGCAAUUGCAGAAAUACAGUAAAAUCUGCAUUCCAAUCAAACAGAGGGCAUGGAAAAUCGAAGUGUGGAUGGGAAUUUACAGACCUGGACGAGCUAAACUAAAUUUCAGGCCUAACUAGUAACUACAUUAUUCAGACACAAUCCAAAACAAUACUGCUAUGUUAUAUAUUCUAAACAAAAUUAGCUUACUGUAACUCAACCAUUGAAGCCCACCAAUUAGGGCUGGGUUCGGUUUAAAACGGUUCGGUUUUUUGCCAAAACCGAAACCGAACCGAAAUUUCGAUUCAGUUCGGUUCGGUUAUUUUUUUUUUCGGUUCGGUUUUUUUCGGUUUCGGUUUUUUCCGGUUCGGGUUUCGGUUUUUUCGGUUUUUUUUUUCUUUCAAAAAAUGAUGUAAAUAAUGGAAGGAGCUUACCUAUCAACCUCCCAAUUCUCAUAUAUCAGAGAAUUGAGAACCUCAAAAUCCUGAAUAUAACUUUAAAAUUUGCAAAAUCAUGAAAUAAUUCAACAAAUUAACUGAUGCAGAUCAAAAAAAAAAAAAAAAAAAGCAAAUGGGUUCGUCUAAAUGCCAUAAUCGAACUCCAAUAUCACAUGUCCAGUGCCCAUAUUCAAAUUCAUAGUCUAGUCCACAAUAGAUCUAGAAAAUUCCAAAACAUAUUCAGAGAAAAAUACAAACUUUUCCACCUUAAAUUACAUAAAUUUCAAAUGGGUAACCUAAAAUUAAAAACCCAUAAACUGAAAAAUAGAUAAAACCCACAACCUUUGCUGCAGCGAUAUCGCAGUGAUCGUCGCAAGCUCUUACAAUUCCUCUUUUCGUCGGGUCUCGAAAGGGGCGAGGGAAAAUCAUUGUUUGGAAGAAAGAAUCCACGAGGAGGACAAGAGAAGACUAGAGAGAGUGAUUUGGAGGAAGAGAGGAAGGAGAGGGAGAGAGAGAGAGACUGAGGAAGCAGAGAGGAAGCCGCGGCGGGGAGAGAGACUUUGAGAUCUGAAAAUGAAAUGGGAAUGGGACACUGACGACUAGGGUUUUAAGCUUAAGAAAUUUUAUAAACCAUUCAAUAUAAGAAACCUAUAAAUAAUAUACUAGUACAAUUAUAACAAUAGAAAGCCUACAGUCAAGUUGGCUGACAGUACCUAAACCCAACCUACAGGUCAGGGGUUCGAACCUUGAUGCUAACAUAUUUUUUAGUAUUUAUAUAUAUAUUUUUUUUCGGUUCGGUUUCUAGACCUCAAAAACCGAAACCGAACCAACCAGAUUCGGUUCGGUUCGGUUUGGCAGUUUCGGUUCGGUUUUUUUCGGCCUCGGUUCGGUUUGGUUUUCGGUUUUUUUCGGUUUUCGGUUAUUUGAACCCACCCCUACCACCAAUCCCCCUAUAAUCCAAAACAACACUUCUCUCCGUGCUUGGCAAUUGCAGCCAAUCCAUCCCCCUAUAAUUCGUGCAGGUCCUAUUUCCCCAUCCCCUAUAAUUUUAUUCCACAAAUUCGUGCACCCACCCUCCCAAAGACCUGCAGGUCCUGCACUGCACCCACCCUAAACCGGAACCCAUCCAACCUGAAACCCUCCCAAAAACCUGCACCCAUCCUAAUCCGAAACCCACAGUCCUCAAACCCUCACACAUUCGACAAAAUGCUCAGAAAUCAAGUUAAUCAACAUGAAAUUUGACCCUAAACCCUAAAGAAAAGCCCAGCUUACCUGGAUUUUGGGUCUCGAUUCGUGUCAGAUUCGCAUCUUCCUGCGUCUGUGUGUGUGGCCGGAUGAGCGUCGUUGAAGUGAACGGAGGAGCGGCGUUCAAACUGGACGGGCUUGACGGAGGACGGGAGGAGCGCUGGAGCGCCGUUUGACCUUUGUUCUUCGAGAGAGAGUGAGUGAGCGAUUGAGAGAGAGAGAGGGACCUAACUUACAAUGGUCAUUAGGAUUUAAUCUUAACCAAUCUUACGGUGCAAGUAAUUUCUAAUUAUAAAUUAAAAAUAUAUAUAUUUAUAUAUAUAAUAUUUGGUUCGGUUCGGAAUGACUGAACAGUUUCAAAGAUGAGGCUGAAUCCCAAACCAAAACAUUUCGGUUUCGGGUACCGAAUAUUUCGGGAAAUUUUCGAUCAAAAUUUGGGAAGGAUUAGGGACGGUUUGGGAUUUUCAAGAAAAAAUUCCAUUCCUAUAAAUUUGAAUCACUAUUCUUAUCUCUGUAAUUUAGAUGAGUUUAUUAUAAAUUAUCUUAUAUUUUGUUAAAAAAUCCAUUUCAUAAAUAAGUAGAUGUGAUAUGCUUAAAUGCAAAUCUGUAACAAAAGCAAUGGAAAAGAAUAAGUACAAAAACGGAAUCGUUGCCUUUUAUCUCUAGGUAAAAUAGAGCACCAAGAUGGUCAUCAAAGAGGUUUUGAUUACGACUGCCCACUUCACCUUCUACGAAUUCAACAUCAAGGACAAUCAAUGGGUUCGUUUCCCGAAUCGUAACUUCCAGUUCUCCAUUUGGUUGCCCACAGAAAAAAAACCACAAUUAAAUCUUCAAACAACGGAAAUUUGAAGCAUAAAGUGAGAACAAAUAGGUCGAAAUGUGACACAGAUGUUAGUAAACUUUAUGGUCUUCAAUCUUGAUAAUUUAUGCACACAUUGGAAUCCAGACUUCACAUAUUCGCUUAUAUUUGUUGAUCUCUUGGCACAUCUAUACUAAAUUGUUUGGUAUUAGUCAUUUUUUUAAUUCAUAUUUCAAUUUUGUAAGUAGAAAAGGUAUAUUUGUAAAUGAAGAUAUCAAAAUAAAAUAAAAAUUUGUAAUUGCGCCAAGCACAUGUAAUUAUAAAUUUGUAAGUCACGCGUAGCACGCCUGAUUAAAGAUCUCUAAUCAAUGUACCAUUGUUAGCACACUUGAUUAAAGGCCUCUAAUCCAUGUACCAAUUGUUAACAAUGAUAAAUAACUAACGCAACACAUUUUAGGGGCGGGUAGCGCUUGUGAUUAAAAAAAUGCCUAACGUGCAUGCAAAGAGGCUAGUUUAGAGUAAAUAAAGAAGAUUGUAAAUAUGCAAAUGCGGGAUAAGUUAAGUGUGGAUAUGGGGUAGGCUAGACUCAAAAUUGAAGCAGACGGACCAGACCCAUUUGUAAAUGAAAUGUUGCAGGGUAGGGCGGGUCUUGUUAGUUGAGAAAUGAAACCAGACUUAACCUGACUCGUUUGAACGAACCGGUUCCUACAAGUUCAUGGGUCCUUUUUUAUAUAUAUAAUGUUUGUUAAUAAGUUAUGACAGUUGUGCUUGAAGUAAAAGCUGGUGUGCUUGAACAAAAUAGCUGUUGUGCUCCAAGUCAAAGCACAAUAAAUUAUAAUGGAGUAGCUUACCAUCACUUUUCAAUUUUCACAAACAGCAAGUUAGGCUAUCUCCAACCGAGGGCUGGUCAGAUGGCUCGUUUUAGCCAUCUGACCCUCAAAGAUAUUAAGGUCAUCUCCAACCGAAGGUUGGCCAGUAGGCUCAUUUUAGCCCUCUGGCUUUCCAAGAUAUUAAUAUUUUAAUGAAUAGUACAAGGCCAUAUUUGCAUCAAUCUCCAACUGAGGGCCAAAGGCCCGGAGGGCUCAUUUUAGCCCUAUCACAAAAAACUUAGCCCUUGGUUGGAGACGGAUUUCGGGCUAUUUUUGGCCCUCUGGACAGGCCAUCUCCAACCAAGGGCUGGCCAGAGGGCUCGUUUUAGCCCUAUGGCCCUCCAAGAUAUUAAUAUUUUAAUGAACAGUACAGAGUUAUAUUUACCUUCAUCUCCAACCGAGGGCUAAAGGGCCAUAGGACUCGUUUUAGCCAUAUCACGAAAAAUCGUCUCCAACCGAAAGCGGUCGGAAGAGGCAGAAACGCCUCUGUGAGUCUUUCUAACCCCUGAAUGGGUGGAUAUGGCUAAGCCAUUAGCUAGUCUCCUUUUUAAUAAGAUAAAAAUAUAUAUAUACACACACACACACAUUUGCUACACCAACUAGUAUAGGUAAGUCCACAUUAGGCUAGGUUACAAAAUUUAAACUUAAAAGCCGCAGACUUGGGUGGCUAGAGCAAUGUGGUUCGAAUCCUUGUUUUCAUAUCCAUAAUUUAGCUAAAUUUAGUGUGGAUCAUCUUAUCGUUUUUUCAUAAAUCCCGUGUAACGAAUAAUUCAAUGUGAUAUGUUUAAAUGCAAAACUUGAGCGAAACACAGUGAAAUGAUUAGAAACUAUCUCCACCACAUAUCUGUACCAAAAACAAUGGAAAAGAACAAGUACAAAUGUUUACAUGAGAGAAGUUGUAAGGACUUGGAUUGUGAGGGUCAUCUCCACUUUGAAAGUAAUAGCUGAAAGUUGGAGGUUCAUGCAGAUUAAACCAUUCGCCAUUGAUGAACACCUCAAAAGAGCGAAACCAGCCCUGCUGAAACUUUUAAGUACAAAAUUAAAAAAUAAACAGUUCAAAGAUCCGACUUUGAUUUGCAUCAAUGAAAGUUGCAACGAAUGCGAACUAUAUUGCCUCAAUCUUUUCAAUUCAUAUUCUUUGCACACCUCUUCUUCAGAGAAGAACAAACUUUUUGGUGAUAGAUGGCGGGAAAUCCUCUUCUGGCAGGAAUGCAAGACAAUCGAUGAUGCAUAGCUGAGCUGAGGUCCUUCUCCGGGCAGGAAUUCCGAGAGUGCGUGGUGUUUUGAUCCACAGAUUUCAAACUUGAUCGUCCAGACGGUGUGAGUGGAAGAGAGCCGCUGUUGUUUGAGCAAUGUCUCCAACAGAUCCUCACGUCCCCUGAUCUGAAAUUCUCCAAGGGAGACAUAGCACAGCUCGAUUCCACUGUUAAAAAAUACCCGAUAUUAUAAAUGCAAAUAUAGACAAGGCAAAAUGAAAAAAGCAAAAGAAAAGGAAGGUAAAUUACAAUUUACAAAUCAUCAGUGUUAAACCGAGAAUCGAUAUUUAUCCUUCUGGUGAAAUCUGUAGCGGAACAACCAGCCUCCUUGUCAGCCUCCUUGUAUGGUAACGCAAUGUACUGGCAUUCAUCCAAACACAGUUAAGUGGUGCUAAAUACAGAUUAGUGUCAAAUUAACUUUGAAGACAAUCAAUUCUGUUGGAAAAUUUGAGGACAAUCAAUUUAACAUAACUACAGAUAAGUGGUACUAAAUACGUACCAGGCUUUGUCUUGAGAGUUGAGAGUUAGAGUGAAAUGAAGGCUCAUAUGGUGAUUUCAUCAUCUAUCCUUAUGCAAGGAAUACGAGAUAUGUUUCUCCAAUCUUUUCCCUUCUUGUUCCGAUACAUCUUCUUCAGGAAGGACAACCCCAGAUGCUGAGAUGAGAAAGAGAUGCUGGCAAACCCUCUUUCGGCAAGAAUUCAAGACUCUCGCAGCUCAAAAAUUCGUAGCUGUUGAAGAGAAGUGAGGUGCUCAAGUCCCUUUCCGUCCAAAGAUUUCAGAUUCCAUACAUAAGAGAUCCAGAGAGUGGGGAGAGUGGCAAGGAGCAGGUGUUCAUUGAGCAACGUCUCCAGCAGAUCCUUGUUUCCUUCGAUCUGAAAUUAAUUGGCUCCUGUAGGAAGAUUUAGUAUUAACCACCCACCAUAAAAUGAACUUAAAGGUAGUCAUUACAGAACAAAGCACACUAUGGUUCAUGAGCAAACUUAAAAGUAAUCAUUACAACUUAUGACUAUUACUAAGUUAAAGUUUUUUAGGGUGUCAAAGAUUCGCCUCAUCAAAAUCUUGUGGGAGAUUUCAACCCAGUUGAAGAAAAAAGAGUACCACACACCAACAAACUACAAGUUAUGACUAUCUAGCUUGUAUUAAUUAAAACAUCCAAAAUAAUGUCCAGGGGAGUCUUCAAACUAUAGCAACUCUUGAUAUCAUGCAAGUCUAUGUGCAACAUUUUUUGGCCUCUCGUCUCACAUAAUAUUGGACCAAACGCAGAAUAAUCCUUCUUCUUUUGCUACAGUCCCGCCAAAGAUAGAGUGGAAUUACUCUCCACUUCCACAGCUGCAGCCGCCAUCGGCAGCCAACGACGCAGUGUUCUGGCCUAAAACGUAUGUGGUAGAGAAAAAUGAAACCCUACGCGAGCACUUGCUGCAAUGCAGCAACAAAGUGUGGCUGCAUACGAAUCAGAAAAACAAAUACUAUAUAUUAAGAGAAACAAUGAAUGGACCCCUUAGCGACUGUGAAAUCCUGCUAUGUGCGAUAAUGUACAUGACGCACUUCCACGGUUGAGUUGCUACUUACCAAGAAGGUUUCUAAAUUUGAGAGUCCAUUGCUCCAACUUUCACCUUCAAACUUGGGUUAAGGCGUAUCAUCGUCAAUUUCUCCAGGGCAUCUUCCUCUAGAGCGGUUAACGAAUCAAAUGAUUGCCUGCAUAUAAAGUAAGCAAAUCUGCAAUGUUCAAAAAAAAUUUGCUUCGUUUGUUAACUUGCUAUGCGAGUCACACGACAUCACACACGCUAAUAUAAAGAAAACAUUGCAUAUUCUCUUGAUUGCUCAUGAAAUCCACAGUCGUGAGAAGAAUGCUAUAACCUCUCAGUUCCCUUGAUCACUACCAGGAGAUAAGGUGUUCAUUGGCGGCAACAAUAGGCACAAUUUUGUUUAAGGUAUGUGAUAUAUAUAUAUAUAUAUAUAUAUAUAUAUAUAUAUAUAUAUACACACAUAUAUAUAUAUGUAUGUAUGUAUAUUCUUCUUUAAGGAGAGUAUGUGGAUGCAGAGUUUUGAUGAAAAUGUAGGAAAAGAACGCAGAGCUCUACCUUCACACGCUUUCUACCGUUUCAUUAUAAAUCGAACUGUGAAAAGCAUGUUUUCUCUCAAAUCCAUUUCAAUAGAAUGCCAACUCAACCACUUUCCUUUUUCAUACCUCAGCUUAACAAGAUACUCCUAAAUUCAAAGAUGAAGAAAUUAUUAUUGAUACAUUUAUCUUAGAAAACAAGCGAAUGGAACUUAAAGCAAAAGUGAGUGGUGGAACGCUCAAUUACCGCUCAUCCGCAGAGCUCAACAUAAGAAUUAUCAUUCUUGUGAAAUCCAUUGCACACCAGCCAACCACUUAUUCAAGUAAUAUCAUUUACUGGAAUACCAACAAACACAAGCAUGACGACACUGCUACAAGGAACAAGCGCUCUGUUCGACCACUUUGUCUGUAAAAAAGCACAUCUGCACCCAUUCGAAGAUAAGAAUGACAUCAAGAGAAGAUGAAAAGGCAUGUCUCCCAUACUCAAACUAUAAACAGUAUUAGAAGAAAAAAACAUCAUUCCAGGGAUUACCUCGCCGAUUAAAGGAGAAUUAUAUUCAUGCCAGAUAACUGGAGCUAGCACCAUUCAAGGACAACCAAUUGAUGCAUGUUUAAAUCGUUGGCUGUAGAUAAUCCUAUCUUUACAAGUCCAGAGUUGCUAGCUGCAUCAAUAAAGCCGACAAAUACGUUAGUCCCAUUGUGUUGUCCUGACUGAUUGCAUAGUUGAUUUACAUUGAUACAUAAAGGACGGACAAAUUACACUCAAGUGUUCAACUACUUACACUGAAAUCUUUAGGCGCAGCAGCCAGCCACCAAGUCUAGUUACAUUGGCAUUCUAGCAAGCGGUGCCAAUAAGCCAUACUCUCUCCAACCGUUGUGUUUGUAGAGAAAGAGAAACAUAUGUAUACGAACCUACCACAAGAUGACAGAGGCACUGAAAGAUGAGUAAGCAUUCUGCCGUAUGGAAACCACAGAAGUAUAUAUAUUAUACACAAGCACCUGAGUGGUUGAUGUAAUCUAUCAUUUUCCCUCUGAUAAUCCUACCUUUACAGUUCAAUAGUUUUGUCUCUGGACCGACGAAGUCCCACAUACGUUCAGUCUCUAUAUAGCUGUUCAAGCGAGCUGAGGUCUCGAGGUCCCCGUCCUGGAAGG
rnacentral:lncRNA from 1 species